AUUUUAUUUUGGCUGUGCUGCCCAGCAUGCAGGAUCUUAGUUCCCCAACCAGGGGUUGAACUCACGCUCCCUGCAUUGGUAGUGCGGAGUCUUAACCACUGGACCACCAGGGAAGUCCCGUUAACUUUUUUUCAAUCAUUUAAACAUGUAAAAAACUUUUUUUUUUUUUUCACUUUCCAGAGGUACAGAAACAGCCUAUAAGCCAUAGUUUGCUGACCCCUGCUUUAGAGGUAUUUUCUUGAGGCAGAGUGAACAAGAUUUAAUUGGGGGUAAUGACCAUGUAUAGUCUGUACUCCUCCAAUCUAGAAUACUUUCCGAAGAUAAAGGGGGCACCGUUAAUUACACUGGGAGAAUAGGAGUAAAAUUAGACUGUCCUAAGCCAACCUCAAGUGGUCACCCUAAGGUUAAUGGUUAAGAGAAGUCAAAAUUGCUUCAGGACCUGGUAAAAGGAAAUGGAAGUGGCAAUAAUGGAAACAGGGAGCUUGGGAAGACACUGGUUUUAGGGAGAAGAUGGCUGUAGCAGUCCCAGGUGUCAUAUGGUUGGGACAACAUCGACAGGCAGGAAGAAACCACCCCAGAGGCUUCAUAGCUGGCCACUCCUUAUAUCUUAUUUACCAGAAUUGGGUUGCUAGCUAGUCCCUAAAACAGUGACUGACAAGGAGCAUGGGAUUACCAUGAUUGGUUAGUGUUUAUCUGGCUUUUGACAGUUAUUAUACAGGACUGUGGCAUGCGUUGCUGGUCAUUUAGCAUCUCUGGUGCCUUCCUACUAAAUUUAAUAGCAACCCAAGGCAUUGUGACACCAAAAAAAGAAAAAAAAAAAACCCUCUUCCCCUCCAUCCCACACACACUCCCUAGAGAAAUGAUGCUGGUUAAGAACCACUGGCUUAGACCAGUUGGGAUUUACCUUGGUACUGAAUUAUGUGUGUAUAGUUUUUUUUUUCCUGAUUGGUUUGCGGGGAAGAGAGGAACUAAGCAGAAUUGAAGUUCUGUUGUCAGGGAAGUAGGUUGGGAAAUGGUGGGUAGGUAAUUAACAUUCUGCCAUGAGAAUUAAACAUUUUCUUUCUUUUUUUUUUUUUUUUUUUGCAGUACGCGGGCCUCUCACUGUUGUGGCCUCUCCCACUGUGGAGCACAGGCUCUGGACGCGCAGGCUCAGCGGCCAUGGCUUAUGGACCCAGUAAACAUUUUCUUUUAUAUCCUUGAUAAAAUAAGCAUCUCAACUUCACACUUGAAGCCCCCCCACUCCCCACAGGAAAAAUCUCUCCCAGUAGGAUACUCUUUUUUUGAAUACUGUAGUAACUUUCAGACUGGUGGCCUGCUCUGUCUUUCCCUCCUUCAUUACUACAUGAAGGGACUAGUCCUGUAUACUGAUUUCCUUUACUCAGAUACCUAUCUCCAGUGGUCCUCAGCUAUCUCAGAAACUCAGUUGGAACUCAAAGGCCUCCAUAAAUCCACAGAUGACUUCCCUGCCUUUCCCUUACAAAUGUAAUCUGCUGCUUACUGAUUGACUUGUCAUCUCUAUGGAAGAUGUACCUCUCUAGGCCUGACCCCUCUCUGGAGGGGAAAACACUUCUUUCCCACAUCAGAUGUUUCUUAAAGUAUGGAGGGGGUGCCACUAACAUAACACUCGAUACCUCAUUCCAGCGCUUCUAACAAGUUUCCUGAUGUGGCAUUCUGGGAACAACACCUACCCUUUACCAGUGGCCCCACGAGAUUCCACAAAAGAGCUGAAAUCAGUAUUGAAGUGGCCUUAUGAAGAUGGGAGCAGGACUACGCUAACUGACUGCUGACUUCUUACCCAAGGGGGAUAACCAUGUCCUAAGGUGAUCUCAGUGGGUAAGCUGAAAGGGUCAAAGCAAUGGUCUUCAUACAUUUUUACUGACAUACACCCAAAAUAAUUUUUAGGUUCACAUGUAAAAUUUUUUGUCCUUAGUUGCAAAAGAUGUAAUUUCUGGUGUAAUCUAAAUAUGAAUAUUUUAAAGUGUAAAGGGUUAUAGCACUUAAAAAUGCAUUUAGUGAAAUUAAAUCCCAUAGAAAUUGAAUACUCACCAUCAUCCAUAUUUACAGAAAUUUUACAUUACUCUUUUUUUCUCUUUGAACUUGUGUUUUUAUUCUACUUCCCCACAGAAGUCUUAAAAAUAUAUUUUAUGCUCAAAUGUAUUUUAUUGCUCACCCUAUCAGUCUUUGUGGCAGUCAAAAAAUUGUUUAUAAUUUUAAAAAAUUUCUACCACCAAAAGGUUCUAAAUGUCAAAAAUUUCUUUUGGAUUGAGUUAUUUUUACAAUUAUUAGUAGUAAUACAUAAUUAAUCUUAAGUACAUUACAAAUUUUUCCAAAUAAUUACUAAAGAGAACUAAAAUUUUCCUGGAAAUAUGUCUCUUAAUGAAAUCGAUGAAGCUCCUCCUCUCCAGUUAGUUCAUGGAUGUAAUUUCCUGCUAGGAUACAAUAAGAAAACAAGUUGGGGGACUAUUAGGUGCAGGGCUUACAAAAGAUGAAUAAAUGAUGUUCAAUGCAUUAUUUACAAUAGAAAAUUAUAUAUCUAAAUCUAAGUGUAUUACAUAAAAGAUAGGAAUGAAUAAUGAGGUGAGAAGUGGUUACAAAUAAUAAGCAGAAGUGUUUGGGUAAGAAAACAAGUAUAGACUUACUAUAUUCAAUAAUCUUCAGGUAAAAACUAGUGAAAAUAUUUUCUCCCAUGAGUCUGAAUAAUUGUUCAAAAAGCACUACAAAACAUUAAUGUAUCUGUGAUAUAUGUUCCUUUUACAUGUAAUGUAAUGAUGAUCUGUUAGAAGGAAAUUUGGAAUUUUUUUAACAUCCUUUUCCUUGAAAUCAUCUGAAAUAUGCAGUUGAGACACAGGAGGAUGGCACCAAGUUCUCUCUCAUUACUGAGCAGAUGUGCCUUGUAACUGGUAUUUCCCAGAAUGUUUUCUACAUAUCUUCCAUUUUUGAAUUCUGAGAGAGAUAUCUGGAGCAUGAAACUUUGCUGUGGGUUUGUUACCCACAUGAAAUAGGGCUCAACCUCCUUCAGUAUUUCUGUUUGCUAUCUCAACAGUAUUGUUUGACACCAUCAGGAAAUGGAAGAGGAAACGGCAUUAGACAAAAAUGAUCGUAACUCUUGCCACCCUGCUCUACAAUUAUCUGAACUCAGAACACUCCCGCACAGACCAAAAUACCCAAUUUCUAGCACCAUGCUUUUCUCUUAAUAGAAAUAUAUUUAAGAUAAGGAAAGCCAAGAAAUCCUCCUGCUACUUAUAAUGCAUUGAUUAAAUUAAAUAUUGACAUCACUAUUUAGAAUUGUUCCUUUGUACGGUACCUUAGAGGCUUUUUGCACAUGGGAGCAAAUUGUCAUAGUAAUAUCUGGGAUGGGUGAGAGGAUGCCUGUCUUUUAUAAGUAGAAAAGACUGAUUUUAAAAUAGAAUUGGAAAAAUUGAAUUGUUGUGAAAUCUCAACCUCAGUCAUAUUUUAGACAGCUCAACUUUAGGAAGGAGUAGGUGAAAGUUGAAUAAAUGGAAUUGAUUUCCUUAAAAUUAUCUGUGCUUGUAUUCCUCUUGGAAAGUAGAAUCCCAGGGUAGAUUUAUUCCAGUUUGGAGAUUACUAGGUUAAGAGAAUAAAAUUAUGUGGGGAAUGUGGUGUAAGUUGCAGGGGGUUUUAUUAACAUUCCUGGUGUCUUGGGCCAGCCUUUCCUCUUCCCCAUUGAGUAAGAUACUACAUAGUGAGAAGCUGCAUGAGAAAGCUCAGCCCUUUGGCCAGUCUUACCCUUGGGGCCAGGCUGCCAUCAGGAAUCAUGACUUCUAGUCUAUUCCUUUAUGCUGCAGAAUUUACAGGGACAAGUCUUUGGAGUAGGUGGAGGGGAGAGUUUCUGUAAUCCCGUUCUGCCAGUCAGCAACCCAGUGGUAAGUCUACCUUGUCCUAGGGUUCAGCGUUGGGAGGCCCACUGGCGCCAUCUCGCCUCCAGCGUCAGCUUUAUCAGGAAGAACGACAGUUCUCAGCUGUCUACUCUUUUUCCUGUUUUUCAGUUGGCUCACAACUUGGUAGGAAGAGGGAUGUGGUUUACUGAGUCCCCUAAACGUUCUCAGUCCUAAACAGUGCUGUGCAUAUUAACACCACAAAUACUACUGUGAAUUUUCCUAUGUUUUUUUAGCCAUGAAAUUACAUUCAAUCCUACCUGUUAUUUUUCUAAUAAUAUUUUGUGUAUAUUUCAUAGAUUUGUACAUACUAAUGAGUGUAGUUUGUUUUCAAAAUGUUAUUUUCUAAAGGACUGUUACUGGGCAGUAUAUGAAACAUCAGAAUAGUUAAGUUCAGGAGAAAGAGAAUUGCUCUGUAGCCUUAAACAGCUAGUUCUUCAAGACACAUUGUUGCCAGAGUUUCAUAGAAGGUGAAUGAAUACAUUAGGGGUUGAUUGUAAGGAAAUUAGGCGUGCCAUUCUGUUUCUUCCUGUACUGUAAGUUACUUGGCCUGCUAAGCCUUUUAACAUUCAUAAAACAAUGAUAUAAAAUAUGGCCCUCAUAUGAGACAAUAAGAUUAUAAAGCACGAAUCUUUGUUUUGUAAGCAACUUGGGUCUUUAGAAAAUGAGCUGCUUUUUAGAUUACAAAAAAAAAAAUCAGGAGCUUAAAGCUUCAGUUUAAUGAAGAAUAAACUGUUCUUGAAUCCUCUGUCAUAAACUGGCAUGCAUAAUUCAAAUUUUGUCAUACACUAGCGGAAAUUUUGACUGGCUUUGACUUUGUUAUGGUUACUGAAAGGAGGUUCUCCGGCAGAACAUAAAUUUUUAUUGGCAAGCAGGUGCAGGAAUUCCUGAUGAGAAGAACCAAAAGAUCACAACUUUGAUUCUUCUUUUUUCUCUUGCCUGCAACAUCCAAUCGAAGAUCAAGUCCUGUUGAUCCUACCUCCAAAAUAUGAUCCCAAAUUUGACGGACCACUUCUCACUAUGUCUACUGCUACCAUCCUGGUACAAGCCAUCAGCAGCUCUCAUUUAGACCAUGACAAUAGCCUCUUGUCUGGCUCCUGGGUUUCCACUCUUGCCUUCCUAGAAUUCAUUCUCAAUCAUUAGCCAUUUAACAAUAUAAAUCAGACUAUCACUUCCCUAACUAUACUUCCCUAAUGUCUUUCCCUUGCAAUUAGAAUAAAAUCCAAGCUCCUCAUCAUGGCCCUUAUGAUCUGUUGUACAUCUACCCUCUGAUUGCUCUUAACUCACAUUCCUUGUUCAUUAUGCUCUAGCCAAAUUGGUUUUCUAUCUUUCUUUGAAUGCACCAAGCUCAUUCCUACCUUUGAGGUUUUGCAUUUGCUCUUUUUCCAGCCUGGAAUUCUCUGCUCCCAGAUUUUCUCAUGGCUGAUUCAUUCUCAUUACUUAGGUUGCAGCUCAAAUGUCCAUCCCUCAGAGAAGCCUUUUAUCCUGACCACACAUCUAAAGAGCUGUCAUCCCUUCUCCCCACCUUUAAUCAUUUCCUAUCCUGCUUAAUUGUUUUCACAGUAUUUAGUACUGCCUGAAACUCUCUUAUUUUUCACAUGUUUAUUAUUUGGCCCUCUGCUAACCCCCUCUAGAAUGUGACUCCAUGGUGGGUAGGGCUCGUCUGUCUUGUUCCCUGCUAUAUCCUCAGUGCUUGGAAUGAAGGUUGCCAUUUAGUGGGGGUUUAUUACAUAUUUGAAUGAGUGAAUGACUCAAGGUCCAGAUGUAGCCAGAGAAGGCCUCCCAAGAGGUCUUUACCUUAGUAAUUUACCAUAGUUCAGAGUUGUGGCCCUUUUGUUUUAAAUGCUCAGAUGUCAGCUUUUGCCAGCACAUGGAGGUUUUUUUCCUCCAGGGCAGAACUUACGUUAAUGAAAGUAUAAGACUAAAAUCCCUAUACUAAUUUAUUAGUUUUCAGUGAGCAAUAUAGCUGUCACAUGGACCCAGACUCGUAGUAAUAUGAUCUGUUGUGGAUUUUCUGCCUGUGGGCUAGCACACAUAGGAUAGGGCAUUAAGUGAGAAACUUUUUGGGAAAACAUGGAAUACAAAAAAGGGGAAAGAGUAAGAUGCUUUGUAUGUUUCAAGACAUUUGUUUAUUUAACAAAUAUUUAUAGAUUUCUGACUUUGUUUUGUGCUAGGUACUGAAGAAUCAACAAGUAAUACUAUUAAGCACCAGCAGUUUGGUUGGAGAGGCAGACAAUAAACUGACAAUUACAGAUCAAUGUCAAAAGUUCUCUUUUUAGGUUCAUGCCAGGGUGAUGUAGGAGGACCUAGAAGGGAAACUGAGCCUUGGGGGAUCAAGGUGAGCUUCCCAGGAGUUAGGAUUAUUUGAGCUGAACUCUGAAGAGUUAGCCAGGCAGAACAAGGAAAGGUGUGGGGGGCACUGCUGGCAGAAGCUGCAGCCUGAGCAAAGGUCAGCUGGAGAGAGCAGAACCUUCUAAGAACUACAAGUAGUUCAGUAAGGUUGGGGAAAGGUGGAAUGAGAAGCCUGGCUAUCAGACUCACAGACCUAAGUAGGUCUGGACUUUAUCCCUAUGACAGGGAGCUACUGAAAGUUUUUGUUUUGGUGAAGGGGCAGAGUACAUCUUUCAUACUGCCCUAGUACAGCCAAUACUUUGCAUUCCUUUCUUCGAAAGAACUUCCCAUGGAUAUCUGGAGAAAGUCCACGCUCCCCCUCCGAGAACAUGCAGUCCUUCCUUUACUACCCCCAGCCUUAUACCUGCUAUACCUGCUGCCUCCACAGCGCACUCUGUGCUCCAGACCCACCAAACUUCCCAGCUUCCAGACUCACUUCCCGAUCUUUAAUUAUGCUUUCGUAGCCUCCACUCCUGCUAGCACUCUCAGCAGGUCACUUUCAAAAAGUGUUACAGGAUUAGUCUUCCAACCUAUAAAGGCAAUACAUGUUCCUUGCAACACAGAGACAUGCAGAGGAAGAGCUAAAACCUUCUCCUUUCCUCUCACCACCACACACACAUACAUAGUGUGCUUUAAAACAUAUAUACACUUUUAACUAAAAUAUAUCUAUGCUAUACAAUUUGUACAGUUCUUCCCUGCUCCCCCAACAGAAUAUCCAGUAUUUGCUGGAUGCCAGGCCCUAUGCUUUAUCUCAUUUACCCCACAACUACCAUACAAGGUAGGUACUGUGAUCCCCAGUGGAAGGACAAGCAACUGAGAUGUGACUUAUUUGCCCAAGGUUGCCCAGUUAAUGGGAGCAGCAAUUUGAACUAGGGCAAUGUGGCUCUCAAGUCCACUGCCUUUUGCUAUCUUCCAAAUAAUGCUAUUUUUGUUCUUUUCAAUAACUACAAUAUUUAUAUGGAGGUCUAGAAUUUAUUCAAUUAUUCCUCUGUUGAUGAAUGUUGAGGUUGUUUUUUGCCACUUAAAAUGCCUCAAUAUGUAAUUCUCCAAAGUGGGAUUUGAGGUCAGAGGUCAUACUUAUUUUUAAAUCAGUACGUGACCAAAUAAUGUUCCAAGGAUUGUGUAGCAUUUUCAUAUCCCCAAGAAUCAUGGGACAGUAUCUGUUUCCCUAUACCCUCAUUAGUUCUAAUACUGAUAUUUUUAGGUUUUGGGUUUUUUUUUGGCACUUUGGUCAGUAGAAACAGUGCAACUUUGUUUUGAUUUGCAUGUUUCCUGACUACAGGUGCAGUUGAGAAUUUUUCUGUAUGUUUUUGAGAUAUUUGCAUUUCCUGUUCCAUGAUUUGUCUAUUCAUUUCCUCUCCUGUUCAUUUUUUCUGUUGGAUUGUUUGUCCUUGAUCAUUUUUUGGCGGGAGGGAGCAUGUUUAUAGUAGUAGUAAUAUUAACCCUUUUUCUGACAUGUGUUCAAAUAUCUCCUCCUCUUCUGUGUUCAUUCACCUUUUGACUUUUUUAAGGCAUCCUUUAAUUUAAUUUGUAUGUGCUCAAAUCUAUUGGUCUUUCCCGUCAUGGCUUUUGGGCUUCUUGAAAUUGACAGGUUUUGGGCAUCUCCCUUUAUUAAGGAUUGGACCAGCCAGCCAGGACUGUCCUUGGAGGCUGCUUGAUGGGCUUUGAUGACUUUUCUCAGACUCUUAUACCUUUGCUGCUACCUCGCAAUCUCCUUCUGAGGGAUCUGUUUUCUUGAGAUUUGUUAUUACAUUCAAGCAAAGCCUUUCUGGCCUGGGAAUCAUUUGUCACUUAUAAAAAUGCGUUUGCAUAGCUUUGCUCUGAUUCACUGUGUGCUCAUUUUGUUUCUCUCUUCUAGUUUUAAGAAGCAGUUACCAUGGGGUCUUCUAUUAUAUGUAUUGAGUUUGGGCUCAUCUUUAGCCUCUGAGUUCUUAAGCUUUUUAGAGGCAGUUUAGAGGGAAGAUGUGCCCUUGAUAUAAGACGUAUGGAUGGUGAAGGUAAAUUGGUAAUGGGGAAGUUGUGGGCUUGAGAGUGAGUUUGAUUCUGUCUUUGAUUACAGCUGUAUAAUCCCGGGGAGGUUGUUAUAAGUCUCAGGGCCCUUUUUCAUAAAAUGGAAGUGAUAAUAAUACUGCUUUGAGGCCACUUUUUGACAUAGGAUAGGCCUCCAACAGUUUACUUAGAUGUUUCUUCCUUUUUGGUCACAUUUCAAGAAUAUUUUAAUGAGGUCAGGUCUUCACAAAUUACCUUGGUAUCCCUUUUGGUGAAACAAACUCUUUUCAUUUGCUGUCAGCUUGUAAAAGAAGGAUAAAAGUUCUUGGCCUUAAAGACUGACACUCUUUACAACUCUCUGGAAUGAGCUGCCCAUAUUUCAUUAUUGAACAGAGAAACAUUUAAACUCUAAGUGGAAAUUAAAUUUGAGGCCAUUUUACACAAACCAUGGCUUAGGGCCAAGGCUACAAGACAGAGCAUGUGUGGGUUGGGGGUAGACACUAGGGAGGAGUCUGGCCUGCAUUUUGGUGGAUUUCAAAAUGUGUACCAGAAUUUGUUUCAAGUCGUCAUUAAUGGGCUCAUAGAAAAGAAAGUUAGAGGGAAUCUAGAUUUAUCACCCAGGCGUCUUCCCCUGCCCUCAAGCUGAUGAUCAUGAAACCACUUAGCGAAGGCAGUUGGUUGAAUUGCUCAACUGAUAGUAUUCCUGAAUGAUAACUACUUUUAGAGGAUUUGGGGCUGAGUACUGAUUCUGAGAAGCUAAAAAGGAGAAAUGGGUCUCAGGAGAUCUUAUGCUUCAUCCUGUGUAAUGAUCUUUGUUCUUUGUCUCCCACCUCCACAUUUGAGGCAGCAUUGACCUGCUCUUUCAUCAGGAUCCAAUAGACAAAGGGAAGGAGGCCUAAACCAGUUCCUAGCUUAAAAACCUUGCUGUCCUUCAAGCUCAGGCCUUGAAGGAUUCAGACUUUAUGCAGGUACUCAAAUCAACUAACAUAGUUGAGCACUAUGUGUAAGACACUGUGUAGGAUGGUGAGUGUGUAUGUUUGAGAGAGGCAGAGAGACAGGGGUUGGAGAGGGAGAAGGAGGUGUAUAAGGCAGGUUUCUUGCCCUCAAGUAGCAGAGGUUGCUAGUAACUCGAAUGCUUAAGAGGUCAGGCAUAUUAGGUUAGUUAAGUGACUUUGCAUGUGUAAGAGAAACAAGAGAGUAAGCAUGAUAGUUGACAACAGAUACUUGUGUCACUGACCAUAGGAUGUGGUGUGGGCUAUGGUAAACUGGAGUGUGCAUCCCUAUUGAACAGGAACAGCCCAUGCAAGGAUCUAGCACAGUGGUUCUCAAAGUAUGGUCUCUUGACCAGCAGCAUCAGAAUCACCUGAAACUUGUUAGAAAUGCUGUUUUUUCGGUCCUAUCCCAGAUCUAAGGAAUCAGAAACUCUGAGGAUGGGGUCUUGCAGCUUAUGUUUUAAUGAUCUCUUGCUGUGAUUCUUAUGCCCCCUAAAGUUUGUGUUGCCUUGUGGGAAUUUGGGCCCAGUGUUGCUAGAUCUUUUGGUUUUUCAAGAGAAGCUAGAAAACUAAAUUUUUUAUCGGAAUUUCGUGAUUUUUAAAUAUAUAUAUUUAAAUAUAUAUAGAGCAUAUAUCUAAUUUUUGUGGGGGAGGGAGCAGAUGUACCUUUUGUAGGCCAAACAGCAGGCCAAGGAAAGCACAUCUUUGGACCUUGGGGUCUCCAUGCCUCCAGUUUCAACUACAAUAGAGUAAUCACAUAUUUGACAACAGAAUAAUUGAAAAUACUGUUGGGCUAGAGGAAUGACUCUCAGUGUGUGUUUGUGGGGGUGUGGUGGGGUGCAGCAGGACAUUGGAGUCUGGCAAGAGACGGCUUUUUUUUUUUUUUUUUUUUUUUGCGGUACGUGGGCCUCUCACUGUUGUGGCCUCUCCCGUU